UGGGGGAUAUUGCACAAUGGGCGAAAGCCUGAUGCAGCGACGCCGCGUGGGGGAUGAAGGCUUUCGGGUUGUAAACCUCUUUCGGUAUCGAACAAGGCCCGCUUAGGGUGGGUUGAGGGUAGGUGGAGAAGAAGCGCCGGCUAACUACGUGCCAGCAGCCGCGGUAAUACGUAGGGCGCGAGCGUUGUCCGGAAUUAUUGGGCGUAAAGGGCUUGUAGGCGGCUUGUUGCGCCUGCUGUGAAAACGCGGGGCUUAACUUCGCGCGUGCAGUGGGUACGGGCAGGCUUGAGUGUGGUAGGGGUGACUGGAAUUCCAGGUGUAGCGGUGGAAUGCGCAGAUAUCUGGAGGAACACCGAUGGCGAAGGCAGGUCACUGGGCCAUUACUGACGCUGAGGAGCGAAAGCAUGGGUAGCGAACAGG
rnacentral:rRNA from 1 species